rnacentral:lncRNA from 1 species
UACAGGAGUUAAAAAGAAAUUACUUAGGCAGAUAGUGAGGAUACGGGAUUCCUUGCUAAGGUUUUCCUUUUAAUAAAAAGCAGCCCCCCAAAUCAUUUACUUUUCUAACAAAGAGCACCCUGUAAAAUCGAGCUGCAAACAUAGGCAAGCAAGCUGGAAGCUUGCACAGGUGAAUGCCAGCAGUUGUGCCAAUGGAAAAGGCUACCUGGGACUAGGCAUGUUCAAAACGGCAGCUCCAUCGUCUCUUUGUGCCAGCCACGUGUACAGUAUGGCGCAGACAAGAUGGCGCUGGCUGAGUGGAAAGUCCAUCUGCAAAGUAAGAUGAGGGUGGGGCAACCAGCCUUCCCUGCCACAAUGUAAAUGUCACACCUGGUUGAACCAAUCUGGGGGCCCUAUGUAAAUCAGACACUGCCUCCUCAAGCCUGCCUAUAAAAUCUGCUGCGUCCACCACAGACCAGCUUUUCCCUUUCAGAUGCGGAGAGAGACAGAGAGAGCGAGAGAAAGAAUGAACUUCCUUAAAGUAGGACCUAUAUUUAUUCAAUUAGGACAUAUUCCGUUAAUAUAUGCUCAUAGAAAUAUUUUUGAACUGAAAGAGAAAAAUCUGUUUCUGAAAUAUUUCUAAUCUAACAAUAUUUAUAAUUACAUUGUGAUUACAUAAAUUAGAAUUUAGGAUUGCCUAUACUUGCUUACCUGGUCUAUUUUUCCAAUAUUUCUGAAUAACUACAUAACAAAAUUUAACAGAUACGACAUGCGUGGUUCUCUGUGGAAAAAAAAACUAUAAAUUUGCUUCAAAAUUCAUGUACU